rnacentral:lncRNA from 1 species
GUCAACCCUUGUGCUCAACAAAGUUUCUCCCAUACUGGACGAUCAGUAGUAUGCAAUUACUUGCCAUAAUCCCUAAUUUUUGCAUAAAUUUCCCCAAGGUGGGGUACUCAAUUUAUCAGGAUAAAUUUUUCUGUUUUAUGUCUCUAAUUUUUGCCUGGAUUGCCCUUUCAGGUUUUCAAUCCACCGAGAUGCUCCUUUUUUGCCUAAGCCUCCCUUUCGG